CAACAAGUCAUGGUCUACCUCA
rnacentral:miRNA from 1 species